rnacentral:rRNA from 1 species
AGAAUCAACGCUGGCGGCGUGCCUAACACAUGCAAGUCGAACGAGAAAGUGGAGCAAUCCAUGAGUACAGUGGCGCACGGGUGAGUAACACGUGAAUCAUCUACCUUCGAGUGGGGAAUAACUGAGAGAAAUCUUAGCUAAUACCGCAUAAUACCCACGGGUCAAAGCAGCAAUGCGCUUGAAGAGGAGUUCGCGGCAGAUUAGUAGUUGGCGGGGUAAUGGCCCACCAAGACGAUGAUCUGUA